GUGGAGGUGAUGAACUUUUCCCGAGCUGAUCGAUAUUGAUUAUGCUAUGCUUAUAUUAUAUUUUAUAUUUUCUUGUCCAU